GGAUAGCUCAGUAGGCAGAGCAUGAGACUCUUAAUCUCAGGGUCAUGGGUUGAGCCCCACAUUCAACA